CCGCUGCCCCACCCCGCCCCAGCGGGCACCUGGGUCCUGCCAGGGGACCUCAGACCUUCACUAUAUCUUGUAUCUUAUGUCUGCCUCACCCUACUUCCCCCAUCCACCCUUCGGUCUGAACAUCUCUGUUUAGCCCAAGUAGGGAUAAGGACACCGAGGUUUCAGACUCCAGGCCUGUGGAGUCUCAAGAGUGGAAAAACCAAGGAAGGAUGCUGGAGGCAGAGGCAGAUAGGGGUGUAGGAGACAGGAGAGCCUCCACCCCACUCCCCACCAGGUCAGGGUUCUUGACACAAGCUCCUGGAGGCCUGAACCUUCUCUGCUGUAGACCAGACCUGGUCCAGUAGGAGGUACCAUCAUGAGAGUUGACAUCGGCUUAGUAUGGGAAAGAAAUGCACACAUUGGCGUUGUUGGUCAUGUGAGGACACAGCAAGAGGGUGACAGUCUGCAAGCCAGGAAGAGAGGCUCCACCAGAAAGCAACCCUGCCCACCCUUGGAUCUUGGACUUCCAGCCUCCACAAGUGAACAAGCAGCUUGAAAGAUCACCCUGAUAAAAACGAUCUACAAUCCACAACCUGAAGAUUGAAUAUACUUCAAAGUUCAUCAGAGGAAAGAAGCAUCAAUCAAACUCCCCCGAAGGGAAUCGUCCCAGCUUGGACGUACCACCCACGUAUCCUGGUCCAGGCUUCCCACCUCAAGAGCGCACGGGCGCCAGUGACAGCUUUUUAUGCCUAUUUCAUGGACUUUUACCCUUAGCCUUAAGAGCAUCUUGGUGCACAUUUUAUAUUGGCUCCGUAUUUGCUCUCUAGGUGCCAACGGACACUUAUCCUAACAAAGGAGUCUGGGAAUGGGCCACUUUCUGAGCAACAUAUGAAAUUGCAACGUUAAAGGAGUAAUUCUGCCACUAACCUCUCUUUUGCAAGGGAAAAACUUAAGCAAAUUAACAAUUUUUCCCCACUGGAUGAAGAGGGCCUUGCUCAAUUCUUACCUCAAAAUUUAAAAACACAGGGAGUGUGUUGGCCCCUCUCUUUUGGAGAAGAGACCGAAUGAUGAGGUCAGUAUUGCCAGGUCACCACGGCAGUGGCCCCACUGUCCCUUCUGAAUGCACAGGGUUGCUUUGGGGUCUUGCUUAUAAGGUACAGAAACUGUGCCAUUUCAAAGUGGAAAGGAUCUUCCCCUCCAGAGAGAAAAGGACUAUCCAAAAGAUUAGAAAAAAAUUCCAAAAUCGUUUAUGGGCUUUUGUCUGAUUACUGUUUUAUGGUUUUGGUAUGUCAAAAUCCAGGGAUAAAAAUAUUACACUUUCCUUCAACUAUUCUUUCUGUUCAUAAAGAAACUUCUUAUUUCCAAGUAUUGGGUCACGUCUCAUGGGAUAUCCAUGAUACUGUUGCCCCUCCUCUGGGAAGACUUUUGAAGCCUGGGGAUGCAAAACAGUUGUUUUUGAUUGCUGCUGGAAUAAGACCA